rnacentral:rRNA from 1 species
UACGGAGGGUGCAAGCGUUAUCCGGAUUCACUGGGUUUAAAGGGUGCGUAGGUGGGCAGGUAAGUCAGUGGUGAAAUCUCCGGGCUUAACCCGGAAACUGCCGUUGAUACUAUCUGUCUUGAAUACCGCGUAGGUAAGCGGAAUAUGUCAUGUAGCGGUGAAAUGCUUAGAUAUGACAUAGAAUACCAAUUGCGAAGGCAGCUGGCUACGCGAAUAUUGACACUCAGGCACGAAAGCGUGGGGAUCAAACAGG